AAGGGGCUUCGGCCCUGAGUAGAGUGGCGAACGGGUGAGUAACGCGUGGGUGACCUACCCUUGAGUGGGGGAUAACGUUCCGAAAGGGACGCUAAUACCGCAUGACAUUCCGGGUUCGAAGACCUGGAAAUCAAAGCCGGGGACCGCAAGGCCUGGCGCUCGAGGAGGGGCCCGCGUCUGAUUAGCUAGUUGGCGGGGUAAUGGCCCACCAAGGCGACGAUCAGUAGCCGGCCUGAGAGGGCGGACGGCCACACUGGGACUGAGACACGGCCCAGACUCCUACGGGAGGCAGCAGUGGGGAAUUGUUCGCAAUGGGCGCAAGCCUGACGACGCAACGCCGCGUGGAGGAUGAAGGUCUUCGGA
rnacentral:rRNA from 1 species